AACCAUGAGAAAGCUUUAAAUGGGGAUGUAAAAUAUGAUCUGUGGAAGGGAGAGAGCAGCAUGCUGGAGGGGAUGAUUUGGCAAGUCCGCUGAAGAACACAAGCCUCGACUGCUCCCCAGCGUGGAAGAAGGAAGGCGAUAAAUACUGUAACGGAGGACGAGGAAGGAGCACUGAGUUCUAUGUGGAAAGAAAGGGUCAAAAAGAGGAAAACGCCUAUUCACAUGCAUGGCGUUUAACAGAUUUAUUAGGUUGUUUGCUGUGUGAUGUAAAUCUCCUCCUCUCUCUCCUUGAAAUUUCUUGAGUGAAUUCUACAUUGUUCAUUCAUUCAUGUUUAUGUGCCAGCAAGCUUUGGGAGCACUGUAAAAAUAAAAAAGGUUAGACCACUGUUAGACAUCUGGGAAACAUCUAUGUUAGAGAAGGACUAUAUAUUAAUUUAUCUCAUUUAUGGGAGGGAAAUACUAUGAUUAUUGAAGGUACAUCUCUUUCUUUAUGGAUGGAGUACAUCUUAUUUUUCUAAAAUUUGUAUUUGAACCUAUUUAUUUCUAAUUGUCAAAAAUGUGAAGUGAGAAACUUAAAAACUUUUUAGUUUCUCUUGUCCCACCAUUUUAUGUACUUCCAGGUUGUCAAAUAAUUUGGAAUUUUAGACUUAGAUAUAUAGAUCUUCUAUUUCAAUAAUUAGCUUAUAUUUUAAUUAAAUUGUAUAACUGCAUUAAAAUAUACUUAACUAUG
rnacentral:lncRNA from 1 species